rnacentral:rRNA from 1 species
UCCUACGGGGGGCAGCAGUAGGGAAUCUUCCACAAUGGACGAAAGUCUGAUGGAGCAACGCCGCGUGAGUGAAGAAGGGUUUCGGCUCGUAAAGCUCUGUUGGUAGUGAAGAAAGAUAGAGGUGGUAACUUGCCUUUAUUUGACGGCAAUUACUUAGAAAGUCACGGCUAACUACGUGCCAGCAGCCGCGGUAAUACGUAGGUGGCACGCGUUGUCCGGAUUUAUUGGGCGUAAAGCGAGUGCAGGCGGGUUAAUAAAGUUUGUGUGGA